AUGGGAGUUGCCGGAGUAUUAGGUGCGGCUCUGCUAUGCGCUAUUCAUGGAGCGACCGUAGAAAACACUCUAUUUGAGGACGGUGAUGGUGCAAAUACCUUCCGUGCUUUUAACCCAACUCAAGCUGAACGAACCUAUCCUAUUUUUACAGUGCGAUGGCUGGCUAUUCACGGACUAGCUGUACCUACUGUUUUUUUCUUGGGAUCAGUAUCAGCAAUGCAGUUCAUCCAACCCUGUCGGAGGUACUAA
rnacentral:rRNA from 1 species